GAUGAACGCUGGCGGCGUGCCUAAUACAUGCAAGUCGAGCGAACAGACGAGGAGCUUGCUCCUCUGACGUUAGCGGCGGACGGGUGAGUAACACGUGGAUAACCUACCUAUAAGACUGGGAUAACUUCGGGAAACCGGAGCUAAUACCGGAUAAUAUAUUGAACCGCAUGGUUCAAUAGUGAAAGACGGUUUUGCUGUCACUUAUAGAUGGAUCCGCGCCGCAUUAGCUAGUUGGUAAGGUAACGGCUUACCAAGGCAACGAUGCGUAGCCGACCUGAGAGGAUGAUCAGCCACACUGGAACUGAGACACGGUCCAGACUCCUACGGGAGGCAGCAGUAGGGAAUCUUCCGCAAUGGGCGAAAGCCUGACGGAGCAACGCCGCGUGAGUGAUGAAGGUCUUCGGAUCGUAAAACUCUGUUAUUAGGGAAGAACAAAUGUGUAAGUAACUAUGCACGUCUUGACGGUACCAAAUCAGAAAGCCACGGCUAACUACGUG
rnacentral:rRNA from 1 species